rnacentral:rRNA from 1 species
AAUGAACGUUGGCGGCACGCCUAAUACAUGCAAGUCGAACGCGAUCUUCGGAUCGAGUGGCGGACGGGUGAGUAAUACAUGGGAAUCUACCGAGAAGUGGGGAACAACUAUUGGAAACAGUAGCUAAUACCGCAUAAUCCACAUUGGGAAAGCUUUUGCGCUUUUCGAUGAGCCCAUGUCUGAUUAGCUAGUUGGUAAGGUAAAAGCUUACCAAGGCGACGAUCAGUAGCUGGUUUGAGAGGAUGAUCAGCCACACUGGGACUGAGACACGGCCCAGACUCCUACGGGAGGCAGCAGUGGGGAAUCUUGGACAAUGGGGGCAACCCUGAUCCAGCCAUGCCGCGUGAGUGAAGAAGGCCUUAGGGUCGUAAAGCUCUUUCGCCUGUGAUGAUAAUGACAGUAGCAGGUAAAGAAACCCCGGCUAACUCCGUG